UACGUAGGUGGCAAGCGUUGUCCGGAUUUAUUGGGUUUAAAGGGUGUGUAGGUGGCGCGCUAAGUCGGGUGUGAAAUUUCGGAGCUUAACUCCGAAACUGCAUUCGAUACUGGCGUGCUUGAGGACUGGAGAGGAGACUGGAAUUCAUGGUGUAGCAGUGAAAUGCGUAGAGAUCAUGAGGAAGACCAGUGGCGAAGGCGGGUCUCUGGACAGUUCCUGACACUGAGACACGAAGGCCAGGGGAGCAAACGGG
rnacentral:rRNA from 1 species